CGGAGUGAAAGUUCCCAAAGCUUGGCAUCCUCCCCCAUCCAGAGAGUUUGAAAAGAUGGCCAGCCCUGCCUAGGAUCACACAGCCUGAAGGUGGCCCAGUCAGAACCCAGGUCUUCAAGCUUCCAGGGCGGUGUUUCUCAAAUGGUGCUGUACAUGGGAAUGGCCAAGGGAGUUUAAAAAGUACAGAUUCUUAGGUCUGGAGUAGAGGUGAGGAAUCUGCAUUUCAACAAGCGCCCAAGUGAUCGUGACAAAAAGCAUCGCCAGCAUAUCCCACAGACCCAGGCAACCGCCCACCCCACCCCCGUGGGCACACGUGAUGGCACAGGACAAAAGUAACGGUCAGAAGCCUGGGCUCUAAAAGCAGAUGCUGGGUUUGGGAUGUACUCCAGCUCCUUCCGGGUUAUUUGACUUUGAGUAAAUCUCUGAACUUCUCUAAACCUGUUUCUUCAUAUGCAAAAUGAGGAUAAGAAAAGAAUCAACCUCAUGGGGUUGUCUUUAAGAUGCAAGGAAAUGUGUG